GAGGAGUUGUGCCUGAAAGGGAACCGGAACACAGGUGCUGCAUGGCUGUCGUCAGCUCGUGUCGUGAGAUGUUGGGUUAAGUCCCGCAACGAGCGCAACCCUUGUCCCUAGUUGCUACGCAAGGGCACUCUAGGGAGACUGCCGGUGACAAACCGGAGGAAGGUGGGGAUGACGUCAAGUCCUCAUGGCCCUUAUGGGUAGGGCUUCACACGUCAUACAAUGGCCGGUACAGAGGGUUGCCAAACCGCGAGGUGGAGCCAAUCCCAGAAAGCCGGUCGUAGUCCGGAUUGCAGUCUGCAACUCGACUGCAUGAAGUCGGAAUCGCUAGUAAUCGCGGAUCAGCAUGUCGCGGUGAAUACGUUCCCGGGUCUUGUACACACCGCCCGUCACACCAUGGGAGUGGGUUCUACCAGAAGUAGGUAGGCUAACCGCAAGGAGGCCGCUUACCACGGUAGGAUUCAUGACUGGGGUGAAGUCGUAACAAGGUAGCCGUAA
rnacentral:rRNA from 1 species